rnacentral:rRNA from 1 species
UACGUAGGGGGCAAGCGUUGUCCGGAAUUAUUGGGCGUAAAGAGCGUGUAGGCGGCCAGAUAAGUCCGCUGUGAAAUCUCGAGGCUCAACUUCGAGCUGUCGGUGGAAACUAUCUGGCUAGAGUCCGGGAGAGGAGAAUGGAAUUCCUGGUGUAGCGGUGAAAUGCGCAGAUAUCAGGAAGAACACCCGUGGCGAAGGCGGUUCUCUGGGACGGUACUGACGCUGAGACGCGAAAGCGUGGGGAGCAAACAGG